rnacentral:rRNA from 1 species
CAGUAGCCACGGUAAUACGAGGGGGGCAAGCGUUGUUCGGAGUUACUGGGCGUAAAGGGCGCGUAGGCGGUUAUAUAAGUGAGAUGUGAAAUCCCUGGGCCUAACCUAGGAACUGCAUCUUAUACUGUAUGGCUAGAGUAUUGUAGAGGGUAGUGGAGUUUCCGGUGUAGCGGUGAAAUGCGUAGAGAUGUGGAGGAAUACCGAUGGCGAAGGCAGCCCCCUGGGCCAAUACUGACGCUCAUGCACGAAAGCGUGGGGAGCAAACAGGAUUAGAUACCCCAGUAGUCCCUGUCUCUUAUAC